AUGAGUGUGCCUUCCGUGCUGGUUGGGGAUUCCAUUUACUGGUUGAUUGCCGGUUAUUCAUUAGUAAUCCUUGAGUUUGAUUUGCAUAGGCAGAACCUAACUGUCAUACGGUUGUCGGAGGAUAUGUUUGCCAAGAAAAAUUGUCAAUUCUUGAUCAUGCGGGCAGAGGGUGGUGGCCUUGGUUAUCUCUUCCUUUCAAACUACAAUGCUAAGUUAUGGAAGAGGAAAAAUGGGUAUGAUGGUGUUGCUUCAUGGGUGCUGGAAAGAACUAUUGAACUGGACAAGCUACUUUCCCUGAAUCCAGAGGAGAAAGACUCCCCAAUUAUGCUUGGGAUUGCUGAGCACAAGAAUUUGGUGUUCAUGUGGACAGUUACCGGCCUCUUCACGGUCCAGCUUGAGUCAUUGGAGUUCAAGGAGAGUUUUGAAACCAACUGUUGGUAUGGCCAUCAACCAUUCGAAGGUGUAUAUACCGCAGAAACAAUCACUGGUGGUGGACAUGAUGGAGCUGCACUGUUGCUCAAUACAUAA
rnacentral:rRNA from 1 species